GUUUUCUAAGCGUGUUCUGCAAACACUGAGUUUUGAUUCCACCCACACACAAAAAAAAUGACAAUUGAAGUGUUCAUCCACUGCCUUGUUCAAGGGGCAGAAUGACAGAUUUCUACCUUGUCAGCUCGGGGAUUCGAUCUAGCAACCUUUCGGUUACUAGUCCAAUGCUUUAACCACUAGGCUACCUGCCACCCCAAUGCUACUUACAGUAUGAGAGGGUUCAUUGGUUUUCCAGCAUAUGUUACAGGGUUCAAGACAUUGUUUUAUUUUCAUUGAUUUGUUUACUAAUGAAGGCUUACAACAGUUCUGGACUCACUACCAGAACAUGUACUUAGAAUGUACUAAUUGGCCUCAUUAAGUAUAUAUUUCUGUUAUGAAUCUCUAUUUUCUUGCUUUUUAUUUUUUAACUACCAAUAUUUUUAUCUGGUAACUAUACUGUGACGUAUCUUCUUGACAUGUGAAGUCUUAAACUGUUAGUUUUGAUCAAUUAUGUUUUUGUAUUUUACCUUUUAUUUUUUAAAUAGCCAGUUAUCUUUUUUUUUUUUUUUCUCAAAACAAUUUUUUCUGAGUAUUGACAUUUUAGACACUGGUGUAUAACUGCCGUCAAACUUAACCAAACAUUUUUAUAUUUCAAUUUCUGCAUAUUUAUUUGUUUUAUCUGUUGGAGUGUACAACAACCAUAUUUUUCUCACUCACAAAGUGAAAAUAUUGUUUUCUCGAUUUUUUUUUUAAAAGGUUAUUUUGUUGCUACAAGGCAGAAUAUCAAUAAACCACCAACUCAAACUCGGCUUGUUCUUGAUUGGAUGACUCCUAGAGCUUCUAGCUCCAUUCAGAUACCUGGCAGCAGGUUAUCUUGCUUUAGUUUAGUGUGAUUUUAUUCCGUUGUAGUUCAUUGUCCCCCUAGCUUGAGGAGACUUUGAUGGACUAAUCUGUUUAACAGACACAAAAUACAGUGAUCACAGUGGUAUUGACCAAUCCGCUUCGACAUCAGUGGUAUUGACCAAUCCGCUUCGACAUCAGUGGUAUUGACCAAUCCGCUUCGACAUCAGUGGUAUUGACCAAUCCGCUUCGACAUCAGUGGUAUUGACCAAUCCGCUUCGACAUCAGUGGUAUUGACCAAUCCGCUUCGACAUCAGUGGUAUUGACCAAUCCGCUUCGGCAUCAGUGGUAUUGACCAAUCCGCUUCGGCAUCAGUGGUAUUGACCAAUCCGCUUCAACGGGGGGAGUGUUAUUUUCUCAAUCGAUGGCUUUCUCCCACUGCUAUGUCAAUGAGUCAUAGUUUGGUUGUUCCUUUUCUAAAUGUCUCUUAUCUCCUGAUUUCUGAGUGGCAGAAUGUAAUGUGUAUAUCAAUUUCACCUUUAUUUAACCAGGCAGGCCAGUUGAGAACACCUUUAUUUAACCAGGCAGGCCAGUUGAGAACACGUUCUCAUGUGACCUGGCCAAGAUAAAGCAAAAGCAGUGUGACACAAACAACAACAGAGUUACACCUGGAAUAAACAAACGUACAGUCAAUAACACAAUAGAAAAAGUCUAUAUACAGUGUGUGCAAAUGGCAUGAGGAGGUAGGAAUAGAUUACAGGUAUUACAGGUACACAACCAUAGUGUUUCUAUUGUAUUGUCUAAUGCUCAGGUCGUUUUACAGGUAGCCGACCAACAAGUGUUUGAAAACACAACCAUAGUGUUUAUUUAAUUGUCUUAACGUUCAG
ensembl:lncRNA